UACGUAGGGUGCAAGCGUUAAUCGGAAUUACUGGGCGUAAAGCGUGCGCAGGCGGUUUUGUAAGUCAGAUGUGAAAUCCCCGGGCUUAACCUGGGAACUGCGUUUGAAACUACAAGGCUAGAGUGUGGCAGGGGGGGGUGGAAUUCCACGUGUAGCAGUGAAAUGCGUAGAGAUGUGGAGGAACACCGAUGGCGAAGGCAGGCCCCUGGGUUAACACUGACGCUCAGGCACGAAAGCGUGGGGAGCAAACAGG
rnacentral:rRNA from 1 species